ensembl:lncRNA
AUGGUGAUGGAUUUGGGGGCUCCCUGCCCAGCCUCCCUUUCUCCUUCUCACCCAGGCACCAGGCUGUGCUCCGGGGCAGCCCCGGGCUGGGAGCAGGGCACAUUUCCCACGUGCCAGCACUGCUGGCGGCAGGACUUUGGCUCGCACCUCCCUUCCUGCAGCCUCGCCAGCCCCGGCCCCUCCGCCGCCGGCAGACAAAGCCCAGCCACACAAAGCCACAACCUCGCUGGCCGGCCCCGCGUGCGGCAGAGCCUCUGUGCAGCCCACGGUGAGCCCGGCAGUGUGACCGCCCGUGCCACGCAGCGCUGCGGGCAGGGACGGACUGCGGGACAGGCCGGGCAGGAGGUGGAGGGAAGGACAGGCAGGAGGUGGAGGGAAGGACAGGCAGGAGAUGGAGGGAAGGACAGGCAGGAGAUGGAGGGAAGGACAGGCAGGAGAUGGAGGGAAGGACAGGGAGGAGAUGGAGGGAAGGACAGGCAGGAGAUGGAGGGAAGGACAGGGAGGCCGCGGGCAGGCUGCGCGGAGCGGAGCCGGCCGGGAUGCGCAGCCUGGCGCAGACACAUGCACGCACACCCACACCCGGCAAAACGAAGGCAAAUACCUCUGUCCUCUGCGGCUCCUCCGGCUGCCGCCCGUCCUGCCUCGGCCACGCCGUGCCUCCUCCACGCCGCCCGUCCUCCAUGUGCCCACGCCGGGACGCGCUGCCAGAGCCUGCUCUCCGCCGCCGGUGGGUUUUGGCCCCCGCUGCCUGCUGGCGUUUUGGCAGCCUCGCCGCUCCAGCGAUGGCAUGUGUCCAUUAUUUUUUUUUUUUUUUUCCCUCUCUCUCCCUUUCACAAUCCGUCCUCCCCAGCCUUCUCUGCCGGUGCCUCCGGAGCCGCCUGCGGUGCCAGCUCGCAGGGAAAUUGGCAGCGAGCGCGGCACAGGGAUCCUCCCGCAGCUGACGGAGCCCUGCCAGGCGCAGGCAGCCCUUCUGCCAGCCACCAGCCUUGGCACGGGGGGCCGGGGGGCCGCGGGGGGCUGCCGAGGCUUGGCAGCCCUUCCCCGGCACUGCGCGCCCCAGCCGCCGCCACGGCUCCGCUGCCAAAUGCCAAAUGGGGGGAGGAAAAGGGAAGAAGGCAGAGAAAGGAGUUGGCUUCGCCGUGCCCGGUGGCGGGGACCCACCAGGGACCCCUUCCCUUCGCCAAGGCCAGCUGGGCGACGUCCUCAUCCCUCGGCGGAGGCUCCGGAGCCCGUCCAUGGUGCCGGCGUGGCGUGGAGAGGCUCAGUCCCGUCUGUCCCAAGUUGUGCCCCCAGCCCAGUCAGGAAAGCCCAUGGCAGGGAUGGCAAGCGCCGCCGCAGACCGGCGAUGCUGCGUGGCGAGGACGGCUCCCACAGACACACCUCUUACCCAGCAUCCGUCUGCUGCACAGGGGGGCCCGGGAAAUUGGGAAGGGGAGAGCGGAGGAGGGACUUCUGGCGAUGGGUGGGGGUUUUGGGGUGCCCUCUGGCCGUGUGUCGCCUGGCACGGCCAUCUCAGCCUUGUGCAGCCCCAACUCGUGCCAAAAUCCUGGCCCCGGUGGUUCGCUCGUGCCAUGGCUCCAUCCUGGCCAGCCAUCGGCGUAA